CGACGCCGCCACCAGCAAGUACUGACCACCUGCUGACACGUGUGCUCGCCGGCAGUCUUAACGCAUAUCUGCAGCGAUCUCUCCCUCUGCCUGUUUUAGUGUCCUUUCAAGUGCAGGACAGUGUGCCUCCAACGCAACACACCCUCUCUCGCUAUUGCUGUGCGUACGCGAACACAUGAGCGAAGGCAGCACAUUCUGGUGGCAUGGACGUGUGCAAUCAUUGCCGAAGCGGCAGUGAACGCCGCCUGCACGACAACGGCUGUGACGAACGGUGGUGAUGAGACCGCGUUGACGGUUGCGGCUGCUCGACUCGUCGCCUAUCGUGCAUAGGACGAGCCAAUACAGAAGGGCGGCGAUCAGGCAACACCCUCCUCGAUGAAGCAGACCGGCAUUCAUAGCCUUCUCAGCCAUGCGCAAAAGACCUAUCGAGCGGCACCGAUCACGCUGCGGGUGCAUCAGAGUGUUGUGGUGCUGCUCAGUGGCCGCUUCCUGGAAGCACCAGCGACAUGCGCGUAAGACAAGCGUGGACCGCACGAGCGCACCUGUGCUGUGUCUUGGGCGUGCGCAUACAUCUCGGCUUCCUGCCACUGCAACUCGUGAGCACAUCUCUUACCGCUGCACCAGUCGCCUCUUUUUCCUUUCUUUUUUCUUCCCCGCCUGCCUGUUUAAGCUGUCGGCACGCACGCGAUGCUUC
rnacentral:misc_RNA from 1 species